rnacentral:rRNA from 1 species
GAUGAACGCUGGCGGCGUGCUUAACACAUGCAAGUCGAGCGAAGCGGCUGAAUUGAUUCUUCGGAUGAUUUUCAGUUGACUGAGCGGCGGACGGGUGAGUAACGCGUGGGUGACCUGCCCCAUACCGGGGGAUAACAGCUGGAAACGGCUGCUAAUACCGCAUAAGCGCACAGAGCUGCAUGGCUCGGUGUGAAAAACUCCGGUGGUAUGGGAUGGGCCCGCGUCUGAUUAGGCAGUUGGCGGGGUAACGGCCCACCAAACCGACGAUCAGUAGCCGGCCUGAGAGGGCGACCGGCCACAUUGGGACUGAGACACGGCCCAAACUCCUACGGGAGGCAGCAGUGGGGAAUAUUGCACAAUGGGGGAAACCCUGAUGCAGCGACGCCGCGUGAGCGAAGAAGUAUUUCGGUAUGUAAAGCUCUAUCAGCAGGGAAGAUAAUGACGGU